rnacentral:lncRNA from 1 species
GGAGGCAGAGUGAAACUAACAACUUUUUUGCUCACGGAGAACUGGAGAACUGCAUGGGACGGAAACUGCAUCGGAAGUUGGAAGCAGCAAGGAAAACGCUGGACACUGCUUCCAGAGCGGCCUUCCACAGUCGGCAGUUGCCUGAUGUAAUCCUGAAGUUGGAGGGUGUGAUCUGUGACAAAUGGACCUGAGUCAAGGACAAGAUUUCCUUCAUGAAUAGACUUUAUCCAGUUAGUCACAGAGGAAGUAAAUAUGAAGGGGUCAUAUCAGAGUUUAUCUUCAGUGCAUCCAAGGGCAGACUUCCUGUGACCACCUCACCCCAACCAGGUUCGUUGUGAAGGCUCAAACACCAGUAUAUGGCUCUACUGGGAGGUGGUGGAGACUUCGAGAGGUAGGAAGAAGUGAGUCAUUGGAGAGAUGCCAUUGGUGGGUACACUGGAGCCCUGACCCUUCCUCUUGCUGUCUGUUUCCUGGUUUCCAUGAGAUCCACAAUCCACUGAGAAUUUAAUUUGGCUAUGGCAUGAGACAGAAGUCCUGAUUCACUUGUCAUGUAUGAAUAUAUACAGCGAUCCACCACCAUUUACAGGAAUACACCUCCACUGUUCUGUAUCCCACUGGUUUCACAAGUUAACUAUGUAAACCAGGUGUGGUGGUACACACCUGUAAUCCCAACACUCUAGGAAGCUGAGACAGGAGAAUGGAGGUUCUGGACAGAUGAGAUCAUUUCACACAACUGGGGCCUCAACUGGGAUAUUCUGCACCUGCGUGGCCUGACGCGUCCCACCCCAUUUUUGUGUGGCCUGCUCUGCCUGGAUACUCCAUCUCCUCCUGGAAGCCACAAAACAUCCGAGACUGUUCUGAAGUCAGCAAAACUGACGCAGAGGAGAUAGAAACAAACCACGGCAAAUGAGUCAUCUCAGGCACAGGGCAAGUUAGAAAUAAUCGGAUAAGGUCUUGCCUUGUUGGUUGGGUGACGUUCUCUGGAGGAAGUUGAGAGUGCGUGGUUGAAACGUGUCCCCGACAAGCGAUUCUCAGGAGUGCACAAGAAACCUCUAUUCUCUUUAAAAGCUGUUAUAGGUAGACACCUGCAGUAGGGCAGGUUGGAGCCUUGACAAAAAGAGGAGCCACUAGGGCCCUGGUAAGGAGGGUUAAGCACAAAAGAAGACCCGGGCAGAAGGACUUCUUGAGAAUGGGGAACAGUCUAGGCCUAGGGAGCCAGGGAAAGGAACCCUGGAAUUCUCUCUAAUAGUUCACUGGGAAAAAUGCUUGAAAAUUGGAAUGAUAGUUUUCAGAUCAAG